rnacentral:rRNA from 1 species
GUAGUCCACGCCGUAAACGAUGAAUGCCAGCCGUUAGUGGGUUUACUCACUAGUGGCGCAGCUAACGCUUUAAGCAUUCCGCCUGGGGAGUACGGUCGCAAGAUUAAAACUCAAAGGAAUUGACGGGGACCCGCACAAGCGGUGGAUGAUGUGGAUUAAUUCGAUGCAACGCGAAAAACCUUACCUACCCUUGACAUGGCAGGAACCUCCGAGAGAUUGGAGGGUGCUCGAAAGAGAACCUGCACACAGGUGCUGCAUGGCUGUCGUCAGCUCGUGUCGUGAGAUGUUGGGUUAAGUCCCGCAACGAGCGCAACCCUUGUCAUUAGUUGCUACGAAAGGGCACUCUAAUGAGACUGCCGGUGACAAACCGGAGGAAGGUGGGGAUGACGUCAAGUCCUCAUGGCCCUUAUGGGUAGGGCUUCACACGUCAUACAAUGGUACAUACAGAGGGCCGCCAACCCGCGAGGGGGAGCUAAUCCCAGAAAGUGUAUCGUAGUCCGGAUUGUAGUCUGCAACUCGACUGCAUGAAGUUGGAAUCGCUAGUAAUCGCGGAUCAGCAUGUCGCGGUGAAUACGUUCCCGGGUCUUGUACACACCGCCCGUCACACCAUGGGAGCGGGUUUUACCAGAAGUAGGUAGCUUAACCGCAAGGAGGGCGCUUACCACGGUAGGAUUCGUGACUGGGGUG